CAUCAUUUGUGGCCACCCAUAGUAGUACUGCUGCGUUUCUGGCCUAGCCACCCACAACACAGCAGCCACCGGUUGGCCUUCUUCCAGUGCUCUUCCUCCUUCCCAUCCACUUGACUUCAGGUUGGUUUGCAUUAAGAAGUUUAGCUAUUUU